UAGGAGGUGUUAUAAAGGGCAAGUGGGGCAAAAAGAUAUUGAGACAGACAGCCCAGGGGCUCUGCCACUCUAUCAUGGUCCUGUGGUCAUCUCUAUUCUUGACAGUCUCCCUGGAGAGUAGAAGACUGGGAAUGCUUUUCUGAGAGGCCAGAGAAGCCAGGACUUGCCUAAGAACAUCCUGAGAACCAGUUGACAGAAAAGUGGUCACAAAAUACAAGCCAAAGACUGCUGAAUCUACUCCCUUAGAAGGAAAUGAUCCCUGCUGGACCCACCAGAACUAUAGCUUUCCAUUCUGAGGAAUCUUGGAGAGAAGAAUAAAGGGGAGUGUGGAGGAGAACUGAGGAAGCCAAAGGGGAAUGGAGUUGAGCACAUCGAUUCCUUUGGAAAAAUCCCAAGGAAGAGAUCAGAAGAAGGCUAAGAUAUAUCAUCCCCUGGGCUGCUAAUGGAUGUCUGAGAGGGGAGAGGGGUCCAGAAAUUUACCCAAAGGCCAUUCUGAGGAUCGGUUGGCAGAAAAGUGGUCACAACACACAAGCCACAGACUGCUGGAUCCAGUCCCAUAAGAAAGAAAAGAUCCCUGCCCAUCCCUCCGGAACAACAGCUUUCCAUUCUGAGGAAUCUUGGAGAGAAGACUAAAGGGGAGUGUCAAAAGGGCCUGAAUUCCUUCUUCCUGAAUUAGGAGGAGAGAUUAAGAGGCCCAAGGCAAAGGAGUUCAGCAUGUUGAUUCCUUUGGGAAAAUUCCAAAGAGGAGGGCUGCUAAUGGAUGUCUGAGAGGGGAGAGGGGUCCAGAAAUUUGCCCAAAGGCCAUUCUGAGGAUCGGUUGGCAGAAAAGUGGUCACAACACACAAGCCACAGACUGCUGCAUCUAGUCCCAAAAGAAAGAAAGGAUCCCUGCUCAUCCCUACAGAACAACGGCUUUCCUUUCUGAGGAAUCUUGGAGAGAAGACUAAACGGGAGUGACAAAAAGGCCUUGAGAAAAAUCUGCCUGAAUUACAAGGAGAGAUUAAGAGGCCAAAGGCAAAGGAGUUGUACUGGUUGAUUCCUUUGGAAAUAUACCAAGGAAAAGAUCAGUAGAAGGCUAAGAUAUAUCAUCCCCUGAGAAGGAUCCCUAUUUAUUUGGUUAUUUAGACGUGGACGAGCACUCAGCCAUUCUCUCUUCCCCCAUAUAUUCAGAGCUGCUAAUGAGUGUGUAAGAGGGGAGAGAGGUCCAGAAAUUUUCCCAAAAGCCACUCUGAGGAUCAGUUGGCAGAAAAGUGGUCACAAAACACAAGCCACAGACUGCUGAAUCCAGUUCCAAAAGAAAGAAAAGAUCCCUGCUCAUCCCUCCAGAACAACAGCUUUCCAUUCUGAGAGGACUGCUAAUAGAUGUUGAAGAGGGGAAGAGGUCCAGAAAUUUACCCAAAGGGCACCCUGAGGAUCACUUGUCAAAAAAGUCAUCAGGAAACACAAGCGACAGACUGCUGAAUCCAGGUCCGAGGGAAAGAAAUUAUCCGUGCUGGUCCCCCUAGAACCGUUGCUUUCCAUUCUGAACCUGAAGACAAAGAUGAGGCCUGAAGCAGGAGUCCAGUGCAGUUAUUUGUAAACAUGGGGCCAGGGAUAUGAGAGAGCAUCCUCCCAGGAAGGCUAAAGGCCCUUCUUAAUAGGCCCACCCUUAUUCCUACAAAUACUCUAGUUAACAGAAAUCUAAAAGAAAGCACAAAGCAGAAGGUGUCUCCACUCCAACCUGACAUCUUCCAACCUGCUACCAUGGAUCCAACAAAUGUUGCAGUGCAGCAUGGGAUACUCCCACAUGAACCCCACCCAGCCCCUCAGCCAGCCACACACCCAGAGAAGACACUGCCAUGCUCACAUGCAAAUUCUUGUUCCCCCAAAUCACUCCAUAAAAUGUUGUCAUCCCCAUCCAUUGGCAGUUACGGUGGCAGAAGCCCAAAGGCGGCCCACAGAGGCACUUUCAGAUACACAUGCCUGACUGAGGCAGAAGAGUCAUGGCAACCCAAGGCAACACAGGCUGGCAAUAUUCAUUCCUAUGGAAUGCGAUGGUGGAAGAGUCAGACAUCUCUCCUCCUCGACUAGUCUGUGAUGUUCUACGAACCAGAGGGAGAGCGCUUCUCCCCCAACAUGCAAAGAUCAUGGAUAUCUCUCACUCAACUUGUCUCUCUCUGCUUCCACAAAGACUGAAGAAGAGCAAGAAUUAAGAAGCAGGAGCCCAAUUCAAUGUAGCAUUGGGGCUCCGAGUAUAGGGAACAGCUUUCCCUGGAGGGCAAUAAACACUUCAUCACCACCGAAA